rnacentral:rRNA from 1 species
UACGUAGGGUGCGAGCGUUAAUCGGAAUUACUGGGCGUAAAGCGUGCGCAGGCGGUUUUGUAAGCCAGAUGUGAAAGCCCCGGGCUUAACCUGGGAAUGGCAUUUGUGACUGCCCGGCUAGAGUGUGUCAGAGGGAGGUAGAAUUCCACGUGUAGCAGUGAAAUGCGUAGAUAUCGGGAGGAACACCAGUGGCGAAGGCGACUUCCUGGCCUGUUCUUGACGCUGAGGCGCGAAAGCUGGGGGAGCAAACGGG